CUAAGAAUCUUCCACAAUGGACGAAAGUCUGAUGGAGCGACGCCGCGUGGGUGAUGAAGGCGGUAACGUUGUAAAGCCCUUUUAUAGGUGAGGCGUUGCCUAUGAAUAAGCCCCGGCAAUUACGUGCCAGCAGCCGCGGUAACACGUAUGGGGCGAGCGUUGUUCGGAAUUAUUGGGCGUAAAGGGUGCGCAGGCGGUUAUGCAAGUCUGGUGUCAAAGCCCGCAGCUCAACUGCGGAAGGGCAUUGGAAACUGUGUGACUAGAGUUCGUGAGGGGUAGCUGGAAUUCCAGGUGUAGGGGUGAAAUCUGUAGAUAUCUGGAAGAACAUCAAUGGCGAAGGCAAGCUACUGGCACUGAACUGACGCUGAGGCACGAAAGCGUGGGGAGCAAACAGGAUUAGAUACCCCGGUAGU
rnacentral:rRNA from 1 species